GAGGGUGAAAGUAGCACUGUCACCAACUGUGUCAUUUUGUUACUGGACUGUCGAAAGGGUGGUUCAAAAUGAAUCUGAAACACACCAAUAAUGCUUUCCAUCUCGGCCUUUGCCCUUGCAGGGUGCCUGUGGCUCCCGGCUGCGCCGUUUGGACUCCAGUCAGCAGGAACGUGACGCAAAGCCGAGGGAGUGAAAGGCUGCCAGGGAAAUGAGCACGCAGGGAUUGGAGAGCUUCUGCCCUUAUACCUGAGCACUUCCUGCAAGGCGCAUGGUGGGUUUUGUGACCUGAGAGUCACCACAGUUCAUCUCCCAGGAGGUGUCGACUUUUCCCAUCGGGCAGAUGAGGGUGUUGCGCUCCAAGGCUCCCGUCUGAGGAGAAGGAGGGUUGAUGGCCCUGGGGCUGUCCUGAGUGGCAUAGAAUCCAGUGAAGUCAGAUGCUCGCCGUCGCCAGGAGAAAUGGUGAAUCCAUUGCCAUUUCAUGGGCACCCCACUUUCCUUGAAGCUUUCCUCUGGUGUCUCCUGGUUUCAAGAGCCCUUUCUUUGGCAAGUACACCCUUCCAGCCCUUCAACUGUCCCUGUCAUGCAAGGGAAAACACCAUAUAAUUCUGUAGCUUAGCAUUUAAUACUUAAUGUUUUUUAUUGUUUGUGUUGUUUUGUUUUGGUUUUCCUUAGGAAAUACUGGGGAUCGAACCCAGGACCUCAUACAUGGAAAGCAGGCGCUCAACCACUGAGCUACAUCCAUGCCCACUUAAUGUUGAUUUUGAGAUCUCUCCUCAUUGAUACAUAUUAAUCUGGUUCGUUUUAAAGCAGCUGUCAUUCAAAUGAAAUUGCAACAAUAUAUUCUCUAUCCUAAGGAUUUUGGGUCUUGUAUGGACAUUUCUACUUUUCACCAAUAUUUAAACCUCUUUCUCCAUCAGGGCAUCUGAAAGGAUUGUUCUGCCUUGCCUCUUAAAGCUAAGUAUAGCCUGCAGCUUGCUUUGACCAAUGAGAUGGGAGUGGAAAUGAUAUGUGCCACUUUAUUUAAUUAAAUGCUGAAGCAUUUGGUUCCCCAUGUAAGCUUGCCCAGGACCCUCUUUCCCACAGGGAGACCCAUAAAAGCAAGCAGCUUGCAACGCUGAGCCAACACCCUCAGGACAGCUGGUCUGGAAUGUUGCCCAGACCUACACCAGACUUUAUCUAAGCUGGAAAUAAACUUUUAUUGAGUGAUGCUUCCAAGAUAUUUUGGGUUGGUUGUUAGUGCAGAAAACCCACCCUAUCCUGACUAACCAAAGUUGGUUCCAAUUUUUUGUUAUUAUGAAAUGUGCAGUGCUAGGCUUUUGUGUGCUCCAUGUGUUUAUGUCUCUCUGGUGCUAUUGGCUGGACACAGAGUUGUUGGGCCAAAGGGCAGCUGCAUUUUCAACCAGCACUCCUCGUGUGGCUAACGGGCUGCACUGGUUUAUACUCACACUAGUGCAGGAAAGAGCUCAGCACUUGGUAUUUUAGACUUUGAAUUUCAUUGAUUUACUUUGCAAUAGAUAAACUCUUCAGCAGUACAGUGUAAGCUUGGGACCUCCAAAAUAUUAGAGUUUUCCAUGUAAUCAAAGUAAUAUAUCUUUUAAUGAGGAAAAAUCAUUUGGCACACAAAAAAGGACAACUCUUUAUGUUGGAAAACAAGAGACGCACAAAUACCUAAG
ensembl:lincRNA